rnacentral:miRNA from 1 species
UUUCAUAUCUCGCCCAUAGGCCC